UCCUAGAGUGGUGCGAAUGUGGUGCUGU
rnacentral:sRNA from 1 species